CUUCCUGUGGCGCAGAGGUUAGCGCGUUGGACUUCUAAUUCGAAGGUCGUGGGUUCGAAUCCCACCUGGUAUU